rnacentral:rRNA from 1 species
UACGUAGGGUGCGAGCGUUAAUCGGAAUUACUGGGCGUAAAGCGUGCGCAGGCGGUUUGUUAAGACAGAUGUGAAAUCCCCGGGCUUAACCUGGGGACUGCAUUUGUGACUGGCGAGCUAGAGUAUGGCAGAGGGGGGUAGAAUUCCACGUGUAGCAGUGAAAUGCGUAGAGAUGUGGAGGAAUACCGAUGGCGAAGGCAGCCCCCUGGGCCAAUACUGACGCUCAUGCACGAAAGCGUGGGGAGCAAACAGG